AUGGCAGUGUCCUACAUCGAAAUUGAGCAAACCUCAGUGUCCUUAUCGGUAAAAGCUUCGAGUCGCGUUAAUCCAAAGCGGUUCAUAAGAAACGCACAUCCGCCUCCCCUGUUUCUCCAGCUUCGAGGUAUUCCAACCAGAGCAGAGAGAGCAGGGCGCGAGAGGCUGCAAGCGGCCGCCGCCAUGGAGAACGAGUUCCAGGAUGGCAAGGAGGAGGUCAUCCAAGCAUGGUACAUGGAUGACAGUGAGGAGGACCAGAGGCUUCCUCAUCACCGUGAGCCCAAAGAGUUCAUUCCUCUUGCCAAACUUUCAGAAUUGGGUGUUGUAAGCUGGAACCUGAAUGCUGAUGACUGGGAGAAAGACGAGAAUCUCAAGAAAAUCCGUGAGGCCAGGGGAUACUCUUAUGUGGACAUUUGCGACGUAUGUCCAGAGAAGUUGCCAAACUAUGAGGCCAAGCUGAAGAACUUCUUUGAAGAGCACUUGCAUACUGAUGAAGAGAUACGCUAUUGUCUCGAGGGCAGUGGAUACUUUGAUGUGAGGGACCAAAACGAACAGUGGAUCCGUAUAGCAGUUAAGAAAGGUGGCAUGAUUGUUUUGCCUGCAGGAAUGUAUCACCGCUUUACAUUGGAUAGUGACAACUACAUCAAGGCAAUGCGGCUCUUUGUGGGAGAGCCUAUCUGGACGCCAUACAAUCGUCCCCAUGACCAUCUCCCAGCCAGAAAGGAGUACGUCGACAAGAUUAUCAACAGAGGUGGGAACCAAACCGUCGAAGCUCGUUGA
rnacentral:rRNA from 1 species